UACGUAGGUGGCAAGCGUUGUCCGGAUUUACUGGGCGUAAAGGGCGUGCAGGCGGUUUGUUAAGUUCAGGGUGAAAGCUCCCGGCUCAACUGGGAGAGGUCCUUGGAUACUGGCAGACUUGAGGAGGGUAGAGGAGAGUGGAAUUCCCGGUGUAGUGGUGAAAUGCGUAGAGAUCGGGAGGAACACCAGUGGCGAAGGCGGCUCGCUGGGCCGGUCCUGACGCUGAGACGCGAAGGCGUGGGGAGCGAACGGG
rnacentral:rRNA from 1 species